rnacentral:rRNA from 1 species
UGUGGACGUUACCAAACUGUUGCCUCGGCGGGGUCACGCCCCGGGUGCGUCGCAGCCCCGGAACCAGGCGCCCGCCGGAGGAACCAACCAAACUCUUUCUGUAGUCCCCUCGCGGACGUAUUUCUUACAGCUCUGAGCAAAAAUUCAAAAUGAAUCAAAACUUUCAACAACGGAUCUCUUGGUUCUGGCAUCGAUGAAGAACGCAGCGAAAUGCGAUAAGUAAUGUGAAUUGCAGAAUUCAGUGAAUCAUCGAAUCUUUGAACGCACAUUGCGCCCGCCAGUAUUCUGGCGGGCAUGCCUGUCCGAGCGUCAUUUCAACCCUCGAACCCCUCCGGGGGAUCGGCGUUGGGGAUCGGGACCCCUCACACGGGUGCCGGCCCCGAAAUACAGUGGCGGUCUCGCCGCAGCCUCUCCUGCGCAGUAGUUUGCACAACUCGCACCGGGAGCGCGGCGCGUCCACGUCCGUAAAACACCCAACUUUCUGAAAUGUUGACCUCGGAUCAGGUAGGAAUACCCGCUGAACUUAAGCAUAUCAA